UACGGGGGGGGUAAGCGUUGUUCGGAAUUACUGGGCGUGAAGGGCUCGUAGGCGGCCAACUAAGUCACACGUGAAAUCCCCAGGCUUAACCUGGGAACUGCGUGUGAUACUGGAUGGCUUGAAUCCGGGAGAGGGAUGCGGAAUUCCAGGUGUAGCGGUGAAAUGCGUAGAUAUCUGGAGGAACACCGGUGGCGAAGGCGGCAUCCUGGACCGGUAUUGACACUGAAAAGCGAAAGCCAGGGGAGCAAACGGG
rnacentral:rRNA from 1 species